AAUUUAAAGAUCACUUAUCGCUUUAAAAAAGAUUGUUAAAUUAUUUCCUAGCCGACAGUAGACAAAAUAAAACAAUAAGGAAAAGAUUGUAACGAAAGGCGCAUGCGGCAUGCAAUAGGGUCGAGGGGACUUUCACUUUUUCGGAAGAAGUCCUAGAGUUCUAAUUAAGUAACCCCUUCCCUUAUAUAAGAGACAAUCCACAAGAGUAGCUAGCUUGCGUGCGAAAGGAAAAGUCUUCUUAAUUCUUUGCUACUUAUUCCCACCACCAUCGCCACUGUUUGUGAAGUCGUUGCUGCUGUAAGUAGCCUAAAAACAAAAAAGAACGUACAUGCUACUCGAAAAAGGAAACCGUGCCACAAACAGAGAAAAAGAGAGAACGUCGCCUCCGAGAGAGAAGGGGGGGAGAGAACCACAUGGAGAAGAGAAAGAUCAUUCGUCGAAGGAGAGAGAGACGCUCGUGAGUUGGCAAAGAGAGAGAGCUGAACCGUAAAAACGCCAAAUUUCGACAUCGUGAAGUAUUUGUCCUCGCACAAAGACGGAAAGGUCGUCGAUGCAGGAUACGACAAGAGCAACUCGGGUUUUUCCAGAAUGAACAUGGGACGAGCCACACAUUUCUACGACGAGGCACAAGCUCUCCGCCUAAAGCUGCAAACUGAGGGUGGGGGGAAUACUGUUGGAGGUUGGUUCUCACCUCCAUCAUGAGGUCUAGGCCAUGAAUCUUGUAAAAGCCCAAGAAAAAUGGAUCAUAUUCUUAAAAUAUGGACAGGGGUAUUUUGGUCACUUUGAUGGACGAACCGACACCGUACCCUAUAAAUACGGACGUACGACACCUGAAAAAGGGAUAAAAAAAGAGGAGAAAGCGCCCAAUACUUUCUCUUGAUUUUACAAACUCUUAUUUAAUUUCUGUCUUUAAUUGGUUUCUUGAAAAACAAUCUUUCUUACUACUUUAGCUAUACUUGAUCUAUAUAGUUUCAUAGUGCAUCGUUUGGUCUCUGUGGAAUCGACCCUAAAGUACUACAACGACACCACUAGAUCGUGGUUGAGUAUGCUUUGGGUUAUUAAUUGACCUUUGAUCAACCAUUCGAGGUCGUCCACCUUUUUGUAGCACACUACUCUCAUCGUGUUUAGCUCAUCUAGUUAAGCUUUGUAAUCCGAUUUUUACAACCCUCGGCUUAUAUUUAUAAAGAGAAUUUUGAUAA